rnacentral:rRNA from 1 species
CCUACGGGUGGCAGCAGUAGGGAAUCUUCCACAAUGGGCGAAAGCCUGAUGGAGCAACGCCGCGUGGGUGAAGAAGGUCUUCGGAUCGUAAAACCCUGUUGUUAGAGAAGAAAGUGAGUGAGAGUAACUGUUCACGUUUCGACGGUAUCUAACCAGAAAGCCACGGCUAACUACGUGCCAGCAGCCGCGGUAAUACGUAGGUGGCAAGCGUUAUCCGGUUUUAUUGGGCGUAAAGGGAACGCAGGCGGUCUGUUAAGUCUGAUGGGAAAGCCUUCGGCUUAACCGGAGUAGUGCAUUGGAAACUGGGCGACUUGAGUGCAGAAGAGGAGAGUGGAACUCCAUGUGUAGCGGUGAAAUGCGUAGAUAUAUGGAAGAACACCAGUGGCGAAAGCGGCUCUCUGGUCUGUAACUGACGCUGAGGUUCGAAAGCGUGGGUAGCAAACAGGAUUAGAUACCCGAGUAGUC